rnacentral:rRNA from 1 species
CCAGCCCGCUCAGAAACUUAAAUGAAUUGACGGGGGCCCGCACAAGCGGUGAGCAUGUGGUUUAAUUCGAUGAUACGCGAGGAACCUUACCUGGGCUCAAAUGUAUGUUGACGUAUUCUGAAAGGGAUACUUCUUCGGACAAUAUACAAGGUGCUGCAUGGUUGUCGUCAGCUCGUGCCGUGAGGUGUCGGGUUAAGUCCCAUAACGAGCGCAACCCCUAUCAUUAGUUGCCAUCAGGUCAAACUGGGGACUCUAAUGAAACUGCCUACGCAAGUAGUGAGGAAGGUGGGGAUGACGUCAAAUCAGCACGGCCCUUACGUCCAGGGCUACACACGUGCUACAAUGGCCGAUACAGAGGGCAGCUACCUGGUGACAGGAUGCAAAUCUCCAAAGUCGGUCUCAGUUCGGAUCGGAGUCUGCAACCCGACUCCGUGAAGUUGGAUUCGCUAGUAAUCGCGCAUCAGCCAUGGCGCGGUGAAUACGUUCCCGGGCCUU